CCUACGGGAGGCUGCAGUGAGGAAUAUUGGUCAAUGGGCUUACGCCUGAACCAGCCAAGUCGCGUGAGGGAAGACUGCCCUAUGGGUUGUAAACCUCUUUUGUCAGGGAGCAACGCCGGCUACGUGUAGCCGGACUGAGAGUACCUGAAGAAAAAGCAUCGGCUAACUCCGUGCCAGCAGCCGCGGUAAUACGGAGGAUGCGAGCGUUAUCCGGAUUUAUUGGGUGUAAAGGGUGCGUAGGCGGAAUGCCAAGUCAGCGGGAAAAUCGCGGGGCUAAACCUCGCUCCGCAGUUGAAACUGGCGUUCUUGAGUGGGCGAGAAGUAUGCGGAAUGCGUGGUGUAGCGGUGAAAUGCAUAGAUAUCACGCAGAACUCCGAUUGCGAAGGCAGCAUACCGGCGCCAAACUGACGCUGAAGCACGAAAGCGUGGGUAUCGAACAGGAUUAGAUACCCUAGUAGUC
rnacentral:rRNA from 1 species